AGUCACUGACAUUAGAUACCCCUGUAGUCCAGGGUGUAAACGCUGCAGACUUGGUGUUGGAAAUCCUUCGAGGGUAUUCAGUGCCGGAGAGAAGUUGUUAAGUCUGCUACGUUGGGGAGUACGUCCGCAAGGAUGAAAACUUAAAAGGAAUUGGCGGGGGAGCACCGCAACGGGAGGAGCGUGCGGUUUAAUUGGAUUCAACACCGGAAAACUCACCAGGGGAGACUGUUACAUGAAACCCAGACUAAUGAUCUUGGUUGAUUUUCAG
rnacentral:rRNA from 1 species